CUACACAUGCAGUCGAACGGAGUAGCAAUACUUAGUGGCAGACGGGUGAGUAACAUGUAGGUAUCUGCCCUUUGGCCUGGAAUAACACGAGGAAACUUGUGCUAAUACCGGAUAAGUCUUUACGGAGAAAGCUUUAUGCACCAUUGGAUGAGCCUGCACUUGAUUAGUUUGUUGGUGGGGUAAUGGCCUACCAAGACUGUGAUCAAUAGCUGAUUUGAGAGGAUGAUCAGCCACAUUGGGACUGAGACACGGCCCAAACUCCUACGGGAGGCAGCAGUGGGGAAUCUUGCACAAUGGAGGAAACUCUGAUGCAGCGAUGCCGCGUGAGUGAAGAAGGCCUUUGGGUUGUAAAGCUCUUUCGUCGGGGAAGAAAAUGACUGUACCCGAAUAAGAAGGUCCGGCUAACUUCGUGCCAGCAGCCGCGGUAAUACGAAGGGACCUAGCGUAGUUCGGAAUUACUGGGCUUAAAGAGCUCGUAGGUGGUUAGAAAAGUUGGUGGUGAAAUCCCAAGGCUUAACCUUGGAACUGCCACCAAAACUUUUUAACUAGAGUACGAUAGAGGGAGGUAGAAUUCACAGUGUAGCGGUGGAAUGCGUAGAUAUUGUGAAGAAUACCAAUGGCGAAGGCAGCCUCCUGGAUCUGUACUGACACUGAGGUGCGAAAGCGUGGGUAGCGAACAGGAUUAGAUACCCUGGUAGUCCAUGCCGUAAACGAUGUCUACUAGCCGUUGGGGCCUUUGAGGCUUUAGUGGCGCAGCUAACGCGAUAAGUAGACCGCCUGGGGAGUACGGUCGCAAGACUAAAACUCAAAUGAAUUGACGGGGCCCGCACAAGCGGUGGAGCAUGUGGUUUAAUUCGAUGCAACGCGAGAACCUUACCUGGUCUUGACAUAGUAAGAACUUUCCAGAGAUGGAUUGUGCCUUCGGGAACUUACAUACAGGUGCUGCAUGGCUGUCGUCAGCUCGUGUCGUGAGAUG
rnacentral:rRNA from 1 species